GUGAAUUGGCAAAACAAUCAGAAAGCCAUUUUGCUCAAGUGAUUGCAGCAAAUGUAUUAUUCUAAUUCUUACUAUUUAAUUAGCAAUUAAGUUUUCAUAUAAGUACAAUAAAUUAAUUUGUACUGUUUUUUUUUGCACAGGAACUUAGAUCAUUACUGCCUAGAUCAUGCACGUCUAAGAGGGACCCCAAUUUGUGUCUCUUCGCUGAGUAUUUGGUUGAAGAUGUUGCCACUCCACUCUUUAUACUUGAAGCAGCUUUUGAUAUGUACCAGAUUAAAUCCAACUUCAUAUUAACUGUUCCUGGUCUGGAUCCAAAGCUAUGGAAAAAUUGUUCACAAAGACUGGAACAGUGCAAUGCUAUACAAAUAGGAAUCAUAAAGGAUUUUGGACCUAUUUUCAAGAAGACAUUAAUGAAGCUCGGUAACUCUUCGAGCAGAGGGGUAUUUAUGGAUUCGUUCUAUCUUCAUUUCCAUUUCUAUUCAACAUAUAAUUGGAUAUCCACACCAGUACUUCACAACAAAGCAAGAGUAUUAUUCAAUAUAUAUAUAGUAGUAUUUUGAUGCGGUAAGUCUUCUUAUAUACACUCAUAAUAAAUAAUUAUUUGGUGUGAUACAGACCAUACAAAAAGCCAUUGGUGAUUGGUUCUAUGAUCGAAGUACAUUUCAAGAGAUAGAUAAUCAUACUUUAUAUCCACAAUCAUGUUAUCGUAAAUAGUUGGUUGGUCUUAUUAUUUGUCUAUUCAUGACAAUAUUAUGUGUAUGGUUAAAGCAUUAUUUUUAGUGUGUUAAUUGUAACGAUUCAAAUCGUUUUGUCUUGACUACUAGCACAAUUAAAUGCAUAUUUAA